CACGUAGGGCGCGAGCGUUGUCCGGAAUUAUUGGGCGUAAAGAGCUUGUAGGCGGCCUGUUGCGUCCGCUGUGAAAGCCCGGGGCUUAACCCCGGGUCUGCAGUGGAUACGGGCAGGCUAGAGGUAGGUAGGGGAGAAUGGAAUUCCCGGUGUAGCGGUGAAAUGCGCAGAUAUCGGGAGGAACACCGGUGGCGAAGGCGGUUCUCUGGGCCUUACCUGACGCUGAGGAGCGAAAGCGUGGGGAGCGAACAGG
rnacentral:rRNA from 1 species